ensembl:lncRNA
GGCCUCGAGGCCUGGAGUUGCCUACCCCUGGUUUAAAGGCUAAAUUAGGUCAGGGUUUAAAGGGUUAAAACGCGCGUUUGUGCUUAUUAGAACCACAUGUAAAUAAUAAAGUGACCUUUGCUCAGACAUAUGCGGGACACGAGGGGGUAUCGGGGCCAUAUUAAAAAAUAUAUCUAAUUGAUGAUUCGGAGAAUAAAGUCGAAAUUGGGGAGUGAUUUGUCGUUCAGCUCCUUGAUCUCUCCUUCAAAAUGAUGCAUCUGAUGCAAGGAUUCCGACACUGCGUGUGCUGUGCCACAAGACCCGAGAAGAUUGCUGAUCAAGUGUUUGUAGAGGAUAGGAGCCGUGUAAGUGGUUUGGCUUGAAAGUACGAGCGUAAUCGCUACAUUUCAUCUUUUUCCCCCAAAAAAUAAUAUUUCGCGUUUAUUCGCGAAAGAGACUUUUUUUUUUUUUUUUUUUUUUUUUUUUAUGUGGCCCUAAUACUCCGUCAUACUGAUCUAAUGUCGAACCCGGCUAUGAAAAAAGAGGAUAGGCUACUUACCGCUGCUGGUCGCGGCCUCUCUUCUUUACUUUCAGCCUCACGACAGAUGGAUCCCCCUCUUUCUCUCCGUCUUCAUUUUGUUUAUAGCAGAAAUAAUCUCCAUGAUCUUCCUUCCUCGCCUGUCGCAGUUUUAAGGAAAAGUCUCCAGAGAGUCUUCCAUCAGCAGUGCCGUUACUUUUAUCUGUGCAGGAAUUCCACUCAAACACAACUUGCUGAUUCAUCUCCCAUCGUGCAGAGACAGUCUUCUUGCUGGUAGUUGGAAAGUAACACGGCAGUGUCGCUUUUUCUCCCUCUUUCACGGUGACAUUGAAAGGAACUAGAACUUUAACCUGGAUGCGCAUCUCCCGGCUGCCGCAUCUUAGCACAUAAACUCCACUGUCAUUGUAAAAUAUGCGCCUGAACAAAAUGGAAGAGCUUUGAAGGAUCCGGUGUCGGUAGCCCCGGGCGGGUGCCCACACACCGCGCUGGUGAACAGCCACCUCCACCUCCCCCUGGGGCUCAGCCCGGAGCAAUUUUCCUUCUUCAUCGUUCUUGCAGUUUUGUGGAAACGUGAAGGAGUUUCCUAAAACAGGCUGGACAUCUGCAGACAAACGGGUAAAAACAGCGACGACGAGCAGCGAGCCUAACAUAUCUGAACACCGGUCAGAAAGUCAAGUGCUUCAAGAGUCCCCCACCGGCACCACCCCUCAAAUGAGAGCUGAGGACGUUUGCCCCACAAAGGGCAGGCGUGGAGAGGAGAGGGCGGUGUAGCAGGUUCUGUAUUCAGCUGACAUGAUGAUGCUGCUCAUCUUCAUCUCCAGCUGUGUGGGUGGAGCAGCAGCAGAGGUGGAGGCUGAGGAUGGUGUGGAUGAUCAGGAGCUUCACUCUGAAUCCUGACCUCCUCCAUGUGCUUCAGUGACUUCUGCCUCCAUAAUUUGGUCACCAUGGCGACCAGCUGGAUGAUUGGUGUCCCUCCUCUCACUUUCUGAGGAUGUCAGUGGAGCCGGUGGAGCUUUUGUUACCAGAGAUGGGAUCAGAUCUGAGGAGGCAGAGGAAUCAUUUCAGAGAGUCUGUCCAUAGUUGUUUUCAACACUGGUGUGUUCGAACUGUGAGCACCCUUUUAGCUAAAUGCAGUGAUCUGAUUGGUCAGAUCUGUUUAUUUGUACGCAAAAAUCAGGAAAAUCAAACUUUUACAGGAAAAAGUAAAUGCCUCAAAUUUGUGCUGUGACAUCAGGCGAUGUGUGAACAGCUGCAUUAAAAUUCAUGAGUCUGAAAAAUAUUUUUAACACAUGAAAAGAGCUGCUCCUUACUGAACCCGACCCUGCAGAGCACUGAGGGCAUCCUGUCCAGCUUCAGGACCACCUGGCAGGAGUUUGUGGAGGACCUGGGCUUCUGCUGGUCAUCGCCCUCCUCUCCCUGGGCCUCGGCUACUACGUCAGCAGAGUCCUGCCUUUCUCAGGGUGGAGAGGAGGCAGCAAAAUAGAUGAAGAUCUUUAUGUAGAACAAAAACUCUGGUAUUUAUUUGUUGUGCAAAUCUGAUCAUUUUAUUGGAAUAUGAACAACAUCAUGUGAUGCUGCCAGUGCAAAGAAGAGAGGACGGUGACUCAGAGACACCAACAGCUUCAUGUGUGGCCUAACACCUUUACAAGCACUCACUGAUAAAGUCACUUUUACAUCCCUGUUUGCUCUGUUACAAGCUGUAUAUUACUGAUGUUUUGUAUCUUUUCAUUGUUUUCUCCUCACUUGUUAUUUAUUCAAAUGUUGUUGGUAUGAAUUUUUCCCUCGCUGUCUUUAUUUCACACAAAUACCUGCAGCCUUUCUGACUGGAAACAGUUUUGUCAGGAUAACAGAGCCGACUGCAGAGAAACACCUGGACUGAGUUUAGAUGAAGCUUCAGGUUUAACUGUGGGAUUAUGGCAGCAGAUUAAUGCUUCUUACUUUGUUGUAUAUUCAUUUUAUCUUAAUGUGCUUUUGUUAAAGGUUUUCAGUGUUUAUUCCAUCAAACAUUUGAAGUCAUUUAAUGUGCAAAAUGAAUAAAUUCAUGACUGUAAUCUGCAUCAGGUUAGAGCGUCACUUUGUUACCAACUCAAAACUUUAUUGGCACACAGCAGCUAAGCUGAGCUUUUUACAAAGAGCAAAGAAAACAGGAAAGACUAAAUCUGUACAAACGGGC